rnacentral:rRNA from 1 species
ACGGGUGAGUAAUACAUCGGAACGUGCCCAGUAGUGGGGGAUAGCCCGGCGAAAGCCGGAUUAAUACCGCAUACGACCUACGGGUGAAAGCGGGGGAUCGCAAGACCUCGCGCUAUUGGAGCGGCCGAUGUCAGAUUAGCUAGUUGGUGGGGUAAAAGCCCACCAAGGCGACGAUCUGUAGCUGGUCUGAGAGGACGACCAGCCACACUGGGACUGAGACACGGCCCAGACUCCUACGGGAGGCAGCAGUGGGGAAUUUUGGACAAUGGGCGCAAGCCUGAUCCAGCCAUGCCGCGUGCGGGAAGAAGGCCUUCGGGUUGUAAACCGCUUUUGUCAGGGAAGAAACGGCCUGAUCUAAUAAAUCGGGCUAAUGACGGUACCUGAAGAAUAAGCACCGGCUAACUACGUGCCAGCAGCCGCGGUAAUACGUAGGGUGCAAGCGUUAAUCGGAAUUACUGGGCGUAAAGCGUGCGCAGGCGGCUUUGCAAGACAGAUGUGAAAUCCCCGGGCUUAACCUGGGAACUGCAUUUGUGACUGCAUGGCUAGAGUGCGGCAGAGGGGGAUGGAAUUCCGCGUGUAGC